rnacentral:rRNA from 1 species
GGUCAAUGGGCGCAAGCCUGAACCAGCCAUGCCGGCGUGAAUGAUGAAGGCCUUAUGNUUGUNAAACUCUUUUGNUACGGGAAGAAAACNCAGCUAUGCCUAGCUAACUGCAGGUACCGGAUGAAUAAGCACCGGCUAACUCCGUGCCAGCCGCCGCGAUAAUACGGAGGGUGCAAUCGUUCUCCGGACUUAUUGGGAUUAAAUGGUCCGGAGGCGUACCAAUAAGUCAGUGGAGAAAUCUCUCGGCUCAACCGUGAAACUGCCAUUGAUACUGUUGGUCUAGAGUGUAGAUGGCGUAGGCGGAAUGUAUCAUGUAGCGGUGAAAUGCUUAUAUAUGAUGCAGAACACCGAUCACGAAGGCAUUUUACGAAACUACAACUGACGCUCAGGGACGAAAGCGUGGGGAGCGAACAGGAUUAGAUACCCUGGUAGUCCACGCUGUAAACGAUGAUUACUCGUUGUCGGCGAUAUACAGUCGGUGGCUAAGCGAAAGUGAUAAGUAAUCCACCUGGGGAGUACGAUCGCAAGGUUG